GAAAUUUUUAAGUGGGUGGACAGUUUUUAACGACACCCUAAACCAUUUAUGUUGUGUCCUCAUCGGGCUCCAAAACUGAAAUCCAAUUGAAAUAAAAAAGGGGGAGCUGCAGUACUUGGCGUUUUCGAUUCCCUCCCGAAAUUUCACUUCCCCCUCCCCAAAUUUCACUUCCCUCCUUCCCCAUUUUCGACUUCCCUCUUCAAUCGAAAACCUCACCAAUUAGAGAAAAGAUGUUUCAUCCACUCUCUUUUCAGCUUUUAGUUGUAAUAGAAAAAUAGAAAGAAACUGGAGCUGAAAACAGAUUCGAUCUGUUUCGAUUCGGUGGAGGUGGCGGUGACUAUUUGAGUUGAUUCAACUCAUAGUGAGGUUACUCGGUGUGAGAUAUACUCUGGGUCGACAGAUUUUGGCAAGAAUUUCAAUACAAGAAGGUGGACUUUGGCAAUGGUGUACCUGUGAAAACUUUAGUGGAACCUAAAGUAUCUGAGGAAGGGCUUCUUGAUGCUAUUCAGCAGGAUUACUUCCCAUCUGCCUCCUUAGAGAGUUUUGAAUUACCUCUUUCAGAAUAAAAAAGGGUUGGGUCUGAAGGAAAGCCACUAGUCAUCAUUGAUGAUUAUAUGGGCUGCAGUAAGGAGGUAUAGGAAUUGCUACUAUGAUAAUUGGCGGACCUCAUGAAAAGCACAUGCAGGAGCUUAUCCGUUAUCUCCAAUUUGGACUAUGGUGGCUGGCUCUUGGUGUUACCAGUAAAACUUCUGUGAAUUGAACAAACAAUUUCAGUGAACCUUAUAGCUGAUUCUUGGUUAGAUGAAUCUGUUGUAAUUGCUCCUCUUAUGCAGCAUGCCCCGACCAAGUUUGGGAGGUACCAUUGCCCAGAUCGUGAGAACCCCGCUGAGAUUUUAGCUGAUCUUAUAUCUGUUGACUACAGCUCUACUGAAAGUGUCUACUCCUCUCAGAAAAGAAAGAUGCUCUUGUUGAAUCAUUUUCACAACAUCAUCACUAGUUCUGUAUGCAACUCCGAUUACAUUAAGGGAAAUCUCCAAGAACAGCACCGGGUUGAGCAGGAAGAGUAGAGUUCAGAAGAAGGGAGGUUGGUGGAGGCAAUUCUGGUUGCUCCUAAGGCUUGCGUGGAUACAGGCUUCUCGUGAUGGACCCACAAAUAAAGUUCAGGAAAGAAUGUCAAUUGCAUCAGCUCUUAUAUUUGGGUCAGUUUUUUGGAGAAUGGAAGUUCUUAGACACCAAUACAAGACAUAAUGGGAUUGCUUCAGUGCCAUGGAGAUGUUUAUCGAGUAGAGUGGGCAGAGCAGGUUGAUGGAUUUUGGUGCAGAUGAACUAAAAUAGUUAGCAUAUGUAUAUGCAGAUUGUUUACUUCUGGUAACGAGUAGACGCUUGGGGAAAGUGGGGUGAUUCUCUAAAUAAAUGAAUGUUUUAUUUUCUACUACUAUUUCAAGAAAAAUAAUGUAAUAUAUUUUUGUUCAAUUUCAGUAUUGUAAAAAUAAUAAUUUCAAUUCCUAAUAAAAGUACUAUUCAGACUUAUUUACAAA